rnacentral:rRNA from 1 species
AUUGAACGCUGGCGGCAGGCCUAACACAUGCAAGUCGAACGAGCGGCGGACGGGUGAGUAAUGUCUGGGAAACUGCCUGAUGGAGGGGGAUAACUACUGGAAACGGUAGCUCAUACCGCAUACUAUCGGAUGUACCCAUAUGGGAUUAGCUAGUAGGUGGGGUAAAGGCUCACCUAGGCGACGCUCUCUAGCUGGUCUGAGAGGCUGAUCAGCCACACUGGAACUGAGACACGGGCCAGAAUCCUACGGGAGGCAGCAGUGGGGAAUAUUGCAAAAUGGGCGCAAGCCUGAUGCAGCCAUGCCGCGUGUAUGAAGAAGGCCUUAGGGUUGUAAAGUACGGUCAGCGGGGAGGCGUUACCCGCAGAAGAAGCACCGGCUAACUCCGUGCCAGCAGCCGCGGUAAUUC